GAUGAACGCUGGCGGCGUGCCUAAUACAUGCAAGUCGAGCGAACGGACGAGAAGCUUGCUUUUCUGAUGUUAGCGGCGGACGGGUGAGUAACACGUGGAUAACCUACCUAUAAGACUGGGAUAACUUCGGGAAACCGGAGCUAAUACCGGAUAAUAUUUUGAACCGCAUGGUUCAAAAGUGAAAGACGGUUUUGCUGUCACUUAUAGAUGGAUCCGCGCUGCAUUAGCUAGUUGGUAAGGUAACGGCUUACCAAGGCAACGAUGCAUAGCCGACCUGAGAGGGUGAUCGGCCACCCGGGACCUGAGAACGGGUCCGGACUCCUAGGGGGGGCAGAGGAAGGAAAUCUUCCGAAAUGGGCGAAAGCCUAAGGGAGCAACGCCGCGGGAGUGAUGAAGGUCUCCGGAUCGUAAAACCCUUUUAUUAGGAAAGACAAAAUGUGUAAGUAACUGUGACGAUUUGACGGGAACCAAACAAAAAAGCACCGGCUACCUACGU
rnacentral:rRNA from 1 species